ensembl:lncRNA
AAGGUGGUGAAAAAAUGGAGGUGGUAAAAGGAAGGAGGUGGUUAAAAGAAGAACGAGGUGAAAUGAUCGGGGUGGUAAAAGGAAGGAGGUGCUGAAAGGUUGUAGGUGGUAAAAAGAAGGAGGUGUUGAAAGGAUGGAGGUGGAGAAAGGAUGUAGGAGAUAAAAGGAUGGGGGUGGUGGAAGGAUGUACAAAGUGAAAGGAUAUAGGAGGUAAAAGGAGGGAGGUGGUAAAAUGAAGGAGGUGGUGAAAGAAUGAGGUGGUGAAAGGAAGGAGAAGGUAAAGGAUGGAGGAGUUAAAAAGAACGAGGUGGUGAAAGGACGGAGGUGGUAAAAAGAACGAGGUGGUGAAAGGAUGGCAGAGGUCAAAGGAUGGAGGUGAUGAAAAGAUGUAGGAGGUAAAAGGAUGGAGGUGUUUGGAAGUAAAAAUGAUGCCAUGAUGCCAUUUUUCUAGGCUUGCGUCGAAAGCGACACAAGCGACGCAGCCUCCCGCAGCGCACCAGGCUGUGAUUGGUCCGCUAACUACGUCCUUUACGGAGUCUCACAUUUCCGCUUUCAUAGCCCGAUAGCACCAUUAUUAAAAAGAAGAAUGUUUACGAGAGAACGGAGCAGAUUGAAGAACUUUUGUCGGAAGAAAUGCGCAAAUAUGACCGCUUAUACAAGCCGUCAUUGGCGGGUUGUAGAAGCGGGUCGGAUUCAUAGUAGUAGUAGGAUUCAUAGUAGUAGUAGGAUUCAUAGUAGUAGUAGGAUUCAUAGUAGUAGUAGUUUGAGCCUUCAGUAUUCAGCGGAAAGACAGAUCUUCAGUCAAAGUCCUGCUUAUCACAGCCUAAUGCCCAUUCAACCACUAAACACACAUGCACACACAGUUAAGAGGUUUGAGCCUACUUUUGUCAUCAAACGGUUCUGUUAGGACCAUGAGGGCCCCAGGGGCCCCUAUCAGCGCUGACAGACAUGUUAGUGUUUACGCUCUCCAACACACACACACACAAACAGACACUUUUCUUUUUUAUGGCUUCCCUUUGUGUAUUUUGUUUUGCACAGUUUUAAAACUAAACUAAAAGACUGUAUUCUAAACUUUAAUAGAAAGAAUGAAAUACGAGUUAAUAAAGAAAUAUAGUAAAUCCUUAUGAAUAACCAGGCGAAUAAUAAUAAAAGAUAAUAAUAAUAAUAAUUAAAGAUGCAAGCAGCGAUGAACGGGCCUUCGCCUCCCCUAGCACUGGCAGCGGUCAGCCGGACACACGUUGAAAAUGAAAAAAAUAGAGUGGUAGGUGUGGGAUUCAAACCAGUGUCUGGCUUUAUUUUGCCACUUUGCCACUAGGCUACUGGCACUAAAAUAUGUGGGAUCACCUCCAUUCAGUCAAGGCAGGGAACAGGAGCUAAUCACACAACUUCUGCUCCACAGAGAAGUAUUAAAUUGUGAAAUACACGCCUUUCUGAUUGAGGUGAGGUCUGACAGAUAUAUUUAGCGAACUGAACACACUGAAUGUGUCUCUGCAGAACAAAGUCACCAACAUUUAAAGCUGUAUAACAAUGUCGGUGGCUUCCUGAAGAGAGCAGAGCUGUGGUCAAGUGACUGCACAGACCUCUGCUUUAUCAAGUGGAUAAUUUCUCUCCAGUGAGGAGUUGGACAGAGGUCCAGUCAUGUCAGUCACAGUGGGACAUUUGACCAACAUGAAGCUUAGGCGUAAAUUCAGUCAGGAAGACUGGACAGGCUGUGCCGUUCCCUGGUGGCCUCCUCUCUCCCUGGGGGUGCACGGCCAGCUGAUUAGGGGCGGGGUCGGGUAGUAUCAGACGUGGGUGUCGUUACCGUAAACCAAUCGCAUUGGUGCAGGCAAACGUUAAAAACUGUUCUCCUCUCUUUUGCUGUCAGUUGUCAUUUCAGCACGCUCCGAAGAUGACCCGCCACCACCCCUGACACCAACAAUCUACAGCAGAACCUGGCAUAUCAGGAGAUUUAUGCAACUUGGGCUCUACCGCCACCACCACCACCACCACCAGUGUCUGGACUCCCAAAGGGGGGGAUACUGUAUGCCUCGUCUCGGCUCGAGAUCCCGGCCCCUGGUCCAAGCCCCAAACAACUUGCAAUAUCAUAUUAUGCCUUUUAUAAUAAAGCAUGGUUCAAAUUCUCUCCGGAUUUAAUUGUUUUUAAGCCUACUCUGCUGAUGUGAAGGAGAAAUCUGCAAAGCUGGAUUAAAUAUGUGGCCUCCGAAUGAGUGCACCUAGAUCAAAGCAGUUACAGGGACUGCUUUAUGAAUAUGUCUGGGUGGCGCUAUCAAGCUAAAAUGCCAUUAUGAAGAAUCAAAAUUACACGAAGUAUCUAAAUCUUUAACGUUACAUUUAUAUGCCAAGUUUAGUUAACAUUGGAGCAUAUUUAGUCCCUUAAAAGCACCUUGGAAGGGUUUUCAUUAUUUAGUGAGACUGAAAUGACUUAGACAGUUGUAUUCAUACACAUGUUUAAAAGAACGUUGUAUUUUGUUUUUAUAAUUUGUAUUUAUAGUAGUAUUUUGUAUUUGGUUGUCUCAACCUUCACUUUUAAAGGACUUUCUGUUUACCUCAAUCAACACACACACACAGACACAAAUUUAUUUAGCGUCUGUAGAAGACAAAAGCAUCACUAGCUGUCUAAACGUCGCCUCAGCAGAAACUAAACUAGUAACAUCUCAAUUCUCUGUUGAGUCCCCCACCCCACACACACACACACACUUACACACACAAGUACAAAUAAACUCAACACUCAAAUAAAUACAGAUUAUAACCGAAGACUGAACAUGUUUUUGCCAUCAGCCAAAACAAAAACGUUCAAUUCUUGGCAGAAUCAAAACAGCCAACAUUUCUACAGUUUUCUGUCACACAGUUUGUCUGUGAUGAUUGUUUAAUGUUAUUGUUGUCAUACACAAUAAAAACAACAUCGCAUUAGCAUUUAACUAAAAUCGUUACUGUUGGUAACGGCACAUUUGUAAUGUCGCUUUUCGUAACGUCGCUGCUAAUAACGCCGAUGCUAAUAACGUCGCUGCUAAUAACGUCGUUGCUCAUUAUGUCGCUGCUUGUAACACCACGUUUGUAACGUUACUUUCUGUAAAGUUGCUUUUUGUAACGUCCAUGUUCGUAACGUCGCUGUUUGUAAUGUCGCUCACCAUAUGUGACCCUGUUUCCAUGGUAACUGAUGGAUGUAUAGGAGCGACUUUGGAUGCAAUGUUAAACACACUGACAUGCACACACACACACACACACACUCUCUUUGGUGACCUUUGAUGAUGAUGAAAGACAAAUGUCAGCAGUGAAACUGUUUAAUGUGGACUUUAACGCUGAAGUUGGGACACUAAGAAACAGCAGCAGGAGGUCAGCGGGAAGAGCAGACUCUCAGUUCACACCGGGGAAGGAGGAGGAGAGAGGAAGAGAAGUAAUGGGAGGAGGACAAAGAGGUGGAUUAGAAGGAAGUGCCUUAGGUUGUGGUUCUCUGAACCCGUCCUGAAGACAAACCUCAGUUUAAUUUUUACAACCACAACUCUUCUCCUCCUCCUCCUCCUCCUCUGUCAUCCCUUUGCCCUUUCCUCCCUUCCUCAUCCUCCUCUCAUAACCUUCUAUAUCCUCCUUGCUCCUCUUUGCUCUCCUCUGCCUCCUUCUCUCUCUUCCUCGUUCUCCUCUCUUAUCCUUUUGCUCCUCCCCCUCCUCCUCCACCUCUCUUCCUCUCUCCUUUCUCUUCUCUACAUAAUAACCUUGUUUUAAACUCUAACCUUUAUUUUUCACCGGCCUCUUUUUCUUUUUUCUUUCUUCGGUAUGGAAACUGAAUUUCAGUGUGUGUCUGUGUGGUAUAUCACGGUGUGCGUUGCCGCGGUGACGGGUAAUGGGAAAUUGAUUGUGACAAAACGACAUUACAGACGGACAUUUCCAUAUGAGUUUAUUUAUGCCGUGUUUCCGUGGGGACCGUUGCGUGCCUCCAUAUUUGAUUCUGGGUUGCCGGGGCAAUGAUGUGAUGCGGGCCGGCCAACGCGGCCUCUUGGGGAAUCGAACCCACAGCAUCCGCUAACAAAUGAACAGCCCCGCCGUCCUCUUUUCAUUUCACGUCAGCGGUGCUUCGGUUGCCGCAUGCUCACUCAAAUCAACACUUAAUUUUAUUCCCAUGAUGCUUUGCUGCACAGUGGCGCUGGCGUUUGGUCGGCGGUUUAUUGGCAGAUAUGAAGCUGCCGCGCCGCAGUAAUUAUGGGAUAUAAUAACCCGAUGUGGUCCAUGUAAAUAGAAACAAAUCAUAUGUGUAUAUAUAUAUAUAUAUAUAUAUAUGGACUGAACGGAGGCGCAGUGGCUGAUGGGGUGUAAUAUCUGACGGCAAAUUUCUUUCCAUCCAAUCGGACAACAUUCAUGUUUAUUUGUUUUCAUACCCAAAGUUUAAAUUUAAAAACUCAUAAAAGGAAACUUUUCUUCACCCUUCAGGGCUCUUUUGAAGCCCCAAAUGUUCUUGCAUUGACCUGAAUAUCAUCAUAUAUCAGACCAGUGAGAAACCAGUGAAACAAAUCAAAGACCAUUGAGACCAAUCUGACCGCAGUCAGACCAUUGAGACAGUCACAUAAGAGUGAGACCAGUCCCAGAUGAGUGAGACUAGUCUGAGACCAGUGAAACCAGUCACAGCCCGUGGGACCAGUCCCAGAUGAGUGAGACUAGUCUGAGACCAGUGAAACCAGUCACAGCCCGUGGGACCAGUCCCAGAUGAGUGAGACUAGUCUGAGACCAGUGAAACCAGUCACAGCCCGUGGGACCAGUCCCAGAUGAGUGAGACUAGUCUGAGACCAGUGAAACCAGUCACAGCCCGUGGGGCCAGUCCCAGAUGAGUGAGACUAGUCUGAGACCAGUGAAACCAGUCACAGCCCGUGGGGCCAGUCCCAGAUGAGUGAGACUAGUCUGAGACCAGUGAAACCAGUCGCAGCCCGUGGGACCAGUCCCAGAUGAGUGAGACUAGUCUGAGACCAGUGAAACCAG